GGCGCCGUGGCAGAGUGGUCUAAUGCGAUAGACUAGAAUUACUCACAUGCGGGUUCUGGUUAUCUAUUCUCUUCGGAGGCGCAUGUUUAAAUCAUGCCGGCGUCA